rnacentral:lncRNA from 10 species
AAAGGUACUUGAAGAGCCCUGCCUCACAUCCUCUUGGACUGCAUUUUACUCCAGCCUUUGCUGAGACAACCAGCUUCACCCAGAUAGGGCUGGAGCUGUCUGCAGGACUACGGCUCCAGAGGACAUUGGAGAUGAGGAGGCAGCUGCGCCUGCAGGGCAUCCAGGGCUGAGACAGAGGAGGUGGUGGAAGUCUGCAAGUCUGCGCCAAGGAGGUUGUCCGAGCCAAGCAGCAGUCGGUAGGGUCAGAAGACCAUCUACGUACAGUGGGAAAGAGCAAAUAUUGAUACCGAGACCUGGGUUUCUCACUGUCUGAAAAGAGAGUUAAAAUUCAGAAAAAUAAAAACAAGAAAACAAAAACUUAUGGUGUUGGAUUAGAACUGAAAGUCUUAGGGUAACCUCAUAGUUUUGUUUUUCAUAUAGACAGAUGGAUACAGAAAUAUAUGCAAACGUGUAUGUGCAUUUCCUAGUUCUGUCUAUUGAAAAGGCCCAGAAGCAAUGCCAGCCCAGUACAAAUGAGCACACCUGGCAUCCAGGUCUCGAUUUCUAAAUACCAUUCUUCCAUAAAAUAAAUCGGGUACUUUGGGGAAAAAAAAAGCAAAA